GUGUUUUUCAUAGUAUUAGAUUAAAGGUUGAAGAUUGCAAUCGGCUUGAGAGAAGUAGUUGCAUCUGAAGUAGAAGCGUCUACUAUAAAAAAUAUAGAAAGGUUGUUCCUUACGGGACAGCCUUUUUG
rfam:Bacteroides vulgatus ATCC 8482, complete genome.